CUGGAGCGGAGGAAGAGGGCGUGGCCAGAGCGGAGGCCAGGAGGGUGCUUGUAGCAUCUGUGCUCUCUCUGGAAAAUUGACAGUUACUGGUCUGGGUGCCUUUUGUGCUCUCAGAGGUACCAUACAGCAUGGAGCCUCUGGUAUGGACGGGAGUGUAAACGACAAGCUCUCUGGAAGAAGCCACCUGCUAUGUGCUGAAGCAGCCUUGUGGAGAGACCCGUGUGGUUGGGACAGAGACUGCCGACAACCGUGCGAGUGAACUUAGAAGCUGAUCCAACCCUCCAGUCCUAGGUGAGCCUUCAUAUGAGAAGGCAGCCCUGUCUGACACCUUGACCGCAAUUUCAUGGGAGACUUUGAAUCAGAGAAACUCAACUACACUGUGCCCAGAUUCCUG
ensembl:lncRNA